AGCUGUUGAGUCAAUCUGUGUGUGUGUCUGUGUGUGUGUGUGUGUGUGUAUAUAUGUGUGUAUGUGCGCGUCUGCACACUUUCCCCCCCUGGUUUAAGGUGAAAUUGAGUGGGUUCGAUCGCUGGGGCGCGGGAGAUGUGCUGAUAAGCUCCAGCAGCACCUGUCACUCUCACAUCCCCAUUGGCCACCAGUCACCGCGGACACUGUGCCAUUGGAUGAUCGACGCGGGAGACUUGGCCCCGGCUUUGAGGAGAGAAGAUGAGUUGUGCAUGGGCGGUUAAAAUGUCACUUAUUUUCAACGAGAAUUGAUGAUCGAUUGGCCGCUGGUGAAGCUUUGGAUGGGAGAGAAUUAACGAUGUGGAUGGGAGAGAAUGUAUUUUGUUGCCAAAAUGCACAGGAACCCAGGGCCAGUUUAACACAUAUCGGUUCAUUGUGGGUUACAUUAGGGAGAUUUCGUUUUAAUGAUUUCGACACGAAAUCUAAUGACCACGAAAUUUAAAGGCAAGUAACAGAUUACUGAUGAGAUAGCUCCUGACAGGUCGGUAGAUCGAUAUGACUCUUUGUAUAGGUAAGCAAGGGAUUUGAUUUACCAAAUUGUUUUGAGAUUUACGUGAACGCUGGUGCAUCGUCGGAUUCUGGAUUUUACAGGUGAUAUUAAAGCCUACAGCACGUCACCACCUCCCAGAUUCAAAGUGAUCAAUUGAAAUAAUAAAACAACACAUAUUAUAACUUUGGAGUCCUAUUGAUCUCUUUCAACAUAUUU